CGGGGCAUAGUAUACCGGUAGUACGCAUGAUUCGGGUUCAUGUAGACUGGGUUCGAUUCCCAGUGCCCCGA
rnacentral:tRNA from 1 species